rnacentral:rRNA from 1 species
AGACAGGUGGUGCAUGGUUGUCGUCAGCUCGUGUCGUGAGAUGUUGGGUUAAGUCCCGCAACGAGCGCAACCCUUGAACUUAGUUGCCAGCAUUAAGUUGGGCACUCUAAGUUGACUGCCGGUGACAAACCGGAGGAAGGUGGGGAUGACGUCAAAUCAUCAUGCCCCUUAUGACCUGGGCUACACACGUACUACAAUGGCCGGUACAACGGGAAGCGAAGUCGCGAGAUGGAGCCAAUCCUAAGAAAGCCGGUCUCAGUUCGGAUUGCAGGCUGCAACUCGCCUGCAUGAAGUCGGAAUUGCUAGUAAUCGCGGAUCAGCAUGCCGCGGUGAAUACGUUCCCGGGUCUUGUACACACCGCCCGUCACACCACGAGAGUUUACAACACCCGAAGUCGGUGGGGUAACCGCAAGGAGCCAGCCGCCGAAGGUGGGGUAGAUGAUUGGGGUGAAGUCGUAACAAGGUAGCCGUAUCGGAAGGUGCGGCUGGAUCACCUCCUUUCUAUGGAG